AAGUUGACUGGGGGAAACAGGUUUUUGUUGCAGUGUUUAUAAUAAUAUAUUACUGUAACUUAAGUAACAACGUCAUGAAAUAAUGGAUGUCGUUAAUAAAGAGAUUAUUUCGCGGAUAACAAUAACUUUAUUUUCAUACGGGGCGUGGUCAGUUUGCAAACACAACACCACUUGCUCGUGUCUCCUGCCUCAGCUCUGACUUUGACAGCAGGCCGGGGUUUUUACACCAGAUCGACAAAUUAGCAGCAUAUUUUAGUUAAACCCUGCGGUUCAUUUUGGGCUUGAGGUCCAUUGGUUGCAUUGAUAUCACUGGCUUGCAUUGGAUUAACAGUGGAAACGCGAGUAGCAUAGACAAGAUGGAUAACAAACAACAUGUCUCUACUGUAACAGCGGCAAAUGUGUAAACUAAACUACAACCGGUACCAAGACUUGACGUGCAUAAUUAUGAUGACUCCAUGAUGUCCCACUUCAUACAUGUCCAUAAGGAUUAUGCUACAGAGGCAUACAGUAGCUAACUGCCACCAGCUGAGAACUGCCUGGUUAAACAUGCUGAAGAGAAAAUAGAAGAUGAGAAGCUGUUUCUCCAGUGUUGUGCUGGUGGAUCCACUAAUAUGCUGUUUCUAGAUCUGUUGUGGUGUGUUAACAUUGCUAUGUUGAAGCCAUUUGACAUAAAGUUUAAGUUCUUGAGAGGUUAUUAAGCACUUUUCAAUCUGAGAUUUGAAAUAACUGAGUUGAACAUGUUCAAGUAUUUCUUCUUUCAUGCAUUUCUCUGUCUCUGUCCAUCUCUUUCUCUAAGUAGUAUGUGAAGCCUGCAGUAGUUCUGUGGCAGUUGUUUGUUUUCUGUGAGUGCUUUGUUAACUAAAAUUGUAUAAAACAGAUUGUCUACCCAUGAAAUCAUAAUUGUGUCUCUUUAACCCUUCAUAUGUUUUGUUAAGAUAUAGUGACUGCAAAGGCCAUAGCAUACUGUAUGAUUGCAUCUUUAUUUUACCAAGUAAUCUGGCAAGACUGAAAGUAGCAUUUAUGCGGAACAAUUUUUUAAAACUUUGAGCAAAAGUUUUUAUCCGAAAUGUUGUGCAGUAACAAGAAACAAGUAACAAGAAAAAUGUGGUUCAAUAAUCUGAUACUGCAGAAUUAUACUACUGUAAAGGUGAGAAAUCAAGUAAUUGUGUACAAUUAGGAUAAACUUUACUUCUGUGUUACUUUCAGCUAUAUAUAUUGCAGCUGUCACACUGACAUCGUGAGAUCAACAUAUGUACAAUUCUAUGCUAAAAUUGUAACUCUGGUCGCUUGAUUCAAAAGUAUAAUAAAUCAAAAUUCUCCCGUUUCGUAUGUCAGUAACAGUACCAACACGCCAUAAAGUUAUGUAACACUCCCCAAGUAGCCCUUAGCAAAAUUCACGUUAAA